ensembl:lncRNA novel transcript
GGAGAAGGCGGAGCCGCCCAGGUCCCCCCGGGCGUCGAUGAAUGUGGGGUACCAUUCCUUGAUGAUGUGGUCAUGUUUGUAGUCGGCCUUAUUGUCCUUUAGAUGUUCCACGGUGUUCCGCUCGCUCUUCUCAUAGGCCUCCCGGGGCUUCCGGACAGACACCUUGCAUUCUCGGACCUUGUUGACGAUGAAUUCUUGGAUGAGAAACCUGAUAUCUUCCAUGAGAGAUAACUAAACAGCCAUAGGACAGUACAGAACAAAUGUGGGCAAAAGUCAAAUCUACAAAUGAUGAACUCUUCCCUUUAUAUCCAACCCAAUAGGCAGUCAUCAUAAAGAAGUCUGAAUAUCUUGGUUGAGAGCUAGACUUUGGAAACAGAGAGACCCUGUAUAAUAACAGACUAAGAAGUAAGGAAGACAAGCCCAGCCAGUCCCACAACUAUUUCAUUAAUACCAGGUAAAGCAACAGACCUGCCAGUGAAGCAUCUUGGAUCCUUUAGCUUUAGGAAAUCUACUCCAGUCCUGUCCUGUGGAAACUAAUGGGAGUGCCAGGAGGCCUAACCAUCUGAGGUGAAUUGAAAAGAAAAAGCAGCGUGCUGAUUGCAGUGACUGGUGCAUGGAUCUCGAUGGCUACUCUGUACUGUAGGCAGUGAUGACACCCUGUUGAGGAGAUUGGUAGGAGCCAUAGCAACACAGGAGGCACAAUUUUAGGGAUGGUUUACAUUCCUAGCUGGAGUUUCCACAAAGCCCAGGUGCUUGCAUAGAGCCUUACCCUUGCCUAUAAACAACUACAUGGUUUAGUGUCCCCGUAAAAUUUCCCUAGAAUGGGAAAUAAUGUCAGGGCAGCAAUACAGUUUGGGGCAGUAUUUAAGAUCUAGUGCUCAGCUUAACAUAAGUCAUCCUGAGACUGAGAAAAAAAUGACAGGCAAUAAUUUAGUUUCAGUACAGUAUUUUAGUUCCGAUAUUCACUAUAAGUCCUUCCCAGGAAUUGAAACAACAUUCAAGUGUUUAAAUUUAAUACUAAGACAUAACCCCUAACAUCACCAAAGAACAUCUGCAAAAACUGGAAGAGGUGGGUGUCUCCUCAAAUGUGCAGGCAUCAACAUAAGCACAUCAGAAUGGUGAAAACUCAGGUAGAUAUGAAAUUACCAAAAGGCAUCAAGGAGGCUCCAUCGAUGGAUCCAGAAUAAAUAAAGAUCUGUGAGAUGUCUGACAGAGCAUUCAGAAAAAUCUCUUCCUCUCUUUAUAUAAAUAAUGGCUGGGAAUUCAGCCAUUCCAAAUCUGGAGAACCCCUAAAGAAGUUUAGAAAAUCACAAAGAAAUAUGGAAAGUAAAUAAAAAUUAAAAAACAAUCAAUUAACAAAAUGAGAAACUUGAAAAAAAUAGAAACAAUAUUAAAAGUCCAAGGAAUAAAAAUUAAAAUAA